GACGUAGGGAGCGAGCGUUUGUCCGGAUUGCAUUGGGCGUAAAGCGCGCGUAGGCGGCCUCGGCAAGUCGGUUGUGAAACUCCCGGGGCUCAACCCCGGGACUGCGUCCGAUACUGCGAGGCUGGAGGUAGGUAGGGGAGAUCGGAAUUCCUGGUGUAGCGGUGAAAUGCGCAGAUAUCAGGAGAACACCCGUGGCGAAGGCGGCUCACUGGCCGGACGAGCCUGAGGCGCGAAAGCGUGGGGAGCAAACAGGG
rnacentral:rRNA from 1 species